rnacentral:tRNA from 1 species
GCGGCGGUAGCCCAGUUGAUGGACACCUUCAAGCAGGGCGGCGGCUUCAGUGUCGAGCAGGAUCGCUGGACCGAGGCGCGCAAGCUGUUCGAUUCGCUGGCCGUG